GUCAACCAAUCCGGGUUACUGUAUAACUAAGGUGUAACAAAAUGUGUAACAAAACUUUUUUAAAUAAUACAGAAAUUAUGACUGUCGGUGUAAUUGUAAUUGUUUAAGAAAAAAACAUGUCAAGCAUGCAAAUAUUAUUUUUAAAAAAUAGUUUUAAUCACUUAAAAGUCAUGUGAUGUUACAUAUAUAGGACGGGUGUGUUCGAUGCGUAAAUUAAUUAACAAAACCCCGUCAUAUAACAUCCAACUUUGAAGUUGCGUCAAAAUGUCAAAUUUAGGUGUGCCACUUAGGGAAUGGUCUUAAACGAUUGACAAUUCAUUUUUCAAUUUUUGUAAUUUUUCCCAGAUUUUUUCUAUGUCGAGCAAAAAAAAGUAGCAGUUUAUAAGGAGACCCCCUAAAUGACGUAACAGCUUGACUUAUGGUCGUUUUAAAAACGAUUGCUUGCAAGUUGCAUUGUGAACAAUUGUACAAUAUGAAAAUUAAACAACGUGAAUGCAAAUAUUUAUAAUGACUUUACGGAAAGUAACUUUUGUGACAUCUUGACAACCGUAUACAAAGUUCGUUACACUUUUCUACCUUCUAAACACAAGAGGUCGAAUUCUUUUGUUCUAUUUAAACCGCAUAUCGGACUGGUAUU
rnacentral:lncRNA from 1 species